UACGUAGGGUGCAGGCGUUAAUCGGAAUUACUGGGCGUAAAGCGUGCGCAGGCGGUGAUGUAAGACAGGGGGGAAAUCCCCGGGCUUAACCUGGGAACUGCAUUUGUGACUGCAUCGCUGGAGUGCGGCAGAGGGGGAUGGAAUUCCGCGUGUAGCAGUGAAAUGCGUAGAUAUGCGGAGGAACACCGAUGGCGAAGGCAAUCCCCUGGGCCUGCACUGACGCUCAUGCACGAAAGCGUGGGGAGCAAACAGG
rnacentral:rRNA from 1 species